AAAUGAAUAGACGGGGACCCGCACAAGCGGUGGAGCGUGUUGUUUAAUUCGAUGAUAAACGAAGAACCUUACCCAGGUUUGACAUCCUUGGAAUUUUUCCGAAAGGAUAAAGUGCUUUAUUGAGCCAAGUGACAGGUGUUGCAUGGCCGUCGUCAGCUCGUGUCGUGAGAUGUUUGGUUAAGUCCAUCAACGAGCGCAACCCUUAUAGUUAGUUGUAUUUUUCUAGCUAGACUGCCCUGGUAACAGGGAGGAAGGAGGGGAUGAUGUCAGGUCAGUAUUACCCUUACAUCUGGGGCUACAAACACGCUACAAUGGCCGGUACAAAGAGAAGCCAACCCGCGAGGGGGAGCAAAUCUCAUCAAAGCCGGUCUCAGUUCGGAUUGCAGGCUGAAACUCGCCUGCAUGAAGCUGGAAUCGCUAGUAACGGUAGGUCAGCUAUACUACCGUGAAUACGUUCCCGGGUCUUGUACACACCGCCCGU
rnacentral:rRNA from 1 species